GAUGAACGCUGGCGGCGUGCCUUAGGCAUGCAAGUCGAACGGCUCUGCAUUGCAGAACAGUGGCGGAAGGGUGAGUAACGCGUGGGAACGUACCUAUUGGUGGAGUAUAGCCUUCCGUAAGGAGGGGCAAUGCUGCAUAAACCCGAAAGGGAAAAGGGCUUAACCGGUCGCCGCUAGAGCGGCCCGCGACGUAUCAGUUUGUUGGUGAGGUAAUGGCUUACCAAGACUAUGACGGGUAGCUGGGCUGAGAGGUCGGCCAGCCACAAGGGAACUGAGACACGGUUCAUACAUCUGCGGAAGGCAGCAACCGGGAAACCUCGUCAAUGAAGAAAACCCUGAUCCAGUGACGCCGCGUGGGGGAGGAAGAUCUUCGGAUUGUAAACUCCUUGUGGCCCUCGUAGUGCGGGAAGAAUAAGCACCUGCCAACUUCGUG
rnacentral:rRNA from 1 species